GACGAACGCUGGCGGCGUGCUUAACACAUGCAAGUCGAACGGUAAGGCUCCAGCUUGCUGGGGUACACGAGUGGCGAACGGGUGAGUAACACGUGGGUGACCUGCCCUGCACUUCGGGAUAAGCCUGGGAAACUGGGUCUAAUACCGGAUAGGACCGCACCGUGAGGGUGUGGUGGAAAGUUUUUUCGGUGUGGGAUGGGCCCGCGGCCUAUCAGCUUGUUGGUGGGGUAAUGGCCUACCAAGGCGGCGACGGGUAGCCGGCCUGAGAGGGUGGACGGCCACAUUGGGACUGAGACACGGCCCAGACUCCUACGGGAGGCAGCAGUGGGGAAUAUUGCACAAUGGGCGGAAGCCUGAUGCAGCGACGCCGCGUGGGGGAUGACGGCCUUCGGGUUGUAAACUCCUUUCACCAUCGACGAAGGGUUUCUGACGGUAGAUGGAGAAGAAGCACCGGCUAACUACGUGCCAGCAGCCGCGGUAAUACGUAGGGUGCGAGCGUUGUCCGGAAUUACUGGGCGUAAAGAGCUCGUAGGUGGUUUGUCGCGUCGUCUGUGAAAUUCCGGGGCUUAACUCCGGGCGUGCAGGCGAUACGGGCAUAACUUGAGUACUGUAGGGGAGACUGGAAUUCCUGGUGUAGCGGUGAAAUGCGCAGAUAUCAGGAGGAACACCGGUGGCGAAGGCGGGUCUCUGGGCAGUAACUGACGCUGAGGAGCGAAAGCAUGGGGAGCGAACAGGAUUAGAUACCCUGGUAGUCCAUGCCGUAAACGGUGGGCGCUAGGUGUGGGUUUCCUUCCACGGGAUCCGUGCCGUAGCUAACGCAUUAAGCGCCCCGCCUGGGGAGUACGGCCGCAAGGCUAAAACUCAAAGGAAUUGACGGGGACCCGCACAAGCAGCGGAGCAUGUGGUUUAAUUCGAAGCAACGCGAAGAACCUUACCAGGACUUGAAAUACUAGCGCCCGCUUUAGAGAUAAAGUUUUUUCUUCGGAAACGCUAAUACAGGUGGUGCAUGGUUGUCGUCAGCUCGUGUCGUGAGAUGUUGGGUUAAGUCCCGCAACGAGCGCAACCCUUAAGCUUAGUUGCCAUCAUUAAGUUGGGCACUCUAAGUUGACUGCCGGUGACAAACCGGAGGAAGGUGGGGAUGACGUCAAAUCAUCAUGCCCUUUAUGUCCUGGGCUACACACGUGCUACAAUGGUUGGUACAACGAGAAGCGACAUAGUGAUGUGAAGCAAAACUCUAAAAGCCGAUCUCAGUUCGGAUUGUAGGCUGCAACUCGCCUACAUGAAGUCGGAGUUACUAGUAAUCGCGAAUCAGAACGUCGCGGUGAAUGCGUUCCCGGGUCU
rnacentral:rRNA from 1 species